GGAAUAUUGGGCAAUGGGCGCAAGCCUGACCCAGCAACGCCGCGUGAGGGAAGAAGGUUUUCGGAUUGUAAACCUCUGUCCUCGAUGAAAAGGAGAAGAUGGUAAUUGAGGAGGAAGCCCCGGCUAACUACGUGCCAGCAGCCGCGGUAAUACGUAGGGGGCGAGCGUUGUCCGGAAUGAUUGGGCGUAAAGGGCGUGUAGGCGGCUUGGUAAGUCUGGAGUGAAAGUCCUGCUUUCAAGGUGGGAAUUGCUUUGGAUACUGUCGGGCUAGAGUGCAGGAGAGGUUAUCGGAAUUCCCGGUGUAGCGGUGAAAUGCGUAGAGAUCGGGAGGAACACCAGUGGCGAAGGCGGGUAACUGGACUGCAACUGACGCUGAGGCGCGAAAGUGUGGGGAGCAAACA
rnacentral:rRNA from 1 species